UGUAUGUAAACUGAAUAAAUGAUAAAUUCAUUAGUAAUUAAUAAAUAUUUUACUUCGUUUUUAUAUUGCAGGUGCUUCAUCAAUAGCUCAAGGCAGUGUGGUUGUUGUUAAUUUUCAAUGGAUCAGCAAGAUAUUCUGGUCAAACACUACAGACUUCAUCACAGGCAAGCCGAUAGAGUUUCUUUUCCCUGUUUACAUCCAGAGUGCAUUUGUACAGGGUUUUAAAAACCCAUCUAUGGAGAGCACAUCCUAAAACAAACAAAUGUACUCAAAAUGCCACUAUUCAGUGUGAAUUCUGUGAAUUUAAAGACAUUUGCUCUCAGGCAACAUUUCUCCAACAUUUAGGAAGUCAUUUGAAAAAUCUUGAUUUUUAAAAAACUGUAAUUUUGGCAGUAACAACCACAUCACUUUCAGAACUCACAAGACCGAGAAACACAAAAACCACAUCUAUAGACAUCUGUUUGUGUUGUAAAUAGUACAGAUAAUGAGUUUGAUACAGCUUCAUUUUCACAAAGUGUACCAGUUCAAGCUGAAGAAAUACAGGCAGAUGGUCAAAUUUUAGACUUUGACCCUGAAGACAGUCAGCCGAUACUUGAAAUGAAAAAAAGAAAUAUGAGCUUGACACUUUUGAACUCCAAGAUGGAAGUGACUUUCUCCUUGAGAAGAAAGGAAAUUGUGCAGGACCAGCCUCUGGUAUCAACAAUUAAUCAAAGAUGGCCAGGGAUGUUUUUUUCAAGAAGAGACUCUUUUACGAUUACCCACAAGUUCAUUCAGAGUUUUUACGCAUCAACCGUAUCGACGUGAAGUUAACAUUCCCGACAUCACUGGACAAUCACACCAGGGGGUUGCUGAAAAUGUACAGAAUCAAACAAGACAAACAGGAGGUGCUAACAUGAAAGAACUUCUGGAGAAACUGGAUGCACAGACCCAAGAUUAAACUGCACAUCGGAGGUCUAAUGUUCUUCGUGGUCUUCCCUUGUACUUGAGAGCCAACUUCAAUUUCAAAGACCAUUCUGGAAUACUUCAGUGAGACUGAUACAGAAUAGCAUGGAUCUUAUACGCAGACAUAACAAGGAUACUGAGGCACUGGGGCCACACACAAAGGACAUGAAAAUGGGAAUCCUUGAAGCGGUGAAUGACUGCACUGCCUAUUCAGGAUCACAUCCCAUGGUGGUUAAUGUGGCAGUAGCACUGGAAGAGGAAGUAGUUAUGGACACUUUGGGAGACUUCACAAAUGCCUUCACUCUCCUCUUCGGUCUGCUAUAUGCUCUUAAUAUAGAGUAUCCCAAGGACCUAAGGUACACUUUCGAGGCAGCCCAGAAGAUCUUUCUGAAGCUAGGAAAUGAGCUGCAAGAGUGCAGUCUCUAAAGAACAAGUUAUUGGAGGUAUAAUUAGAAUAAUGCAUGCCAAUGACAAUGCCACACUACACCACACACACACACACACACACACACACACACACACACACACACACACACACACACACACACACACACACACACACACACACACACACACACACACACACACACACACACACACACACACACCCCGAUUUUGCCCACACUGCAGUUUGGAGCAGAUGUUUAUGACAGAAUUUUUUGGUGGAAUUGUUGAAAUUAAUUUUGAAUUGUUUAACUUUUGGACCAGAUGUUUCUGAUUUUUUUGGCAGAAUUGUUUAACUUUUACUUUAAAUGUAAUGGAAUUAACAGCUUUAUGGGGUAUGGUGUAAAAUCUUUCAAAUUAAACUAUAAGAAAAGAUUUUUUUUGUUUAAUCUAAAACAGAAAUUUGAUUUUCAAGUAAAGCUUCGGUACCUUUUGACUGACAAGAUCAGUAACAUUUGUAAGCUGAAUAUCAUGAGCAGUAUAGAGGUCUCAUGGGCACUUCAUUGCAGUUUGCACUAGGUGACAUUAUUGCAUAGUUUGUAAAUGCAGUAAUAGUUUAUUUUGUUUAAGAACAUACAAUUACUAAAGUCCACUUAAGCCUGCACUGUGUUGUACCUUGUGUAUUCUGUUUUAAAAUGGUCAGUUGUGCACAGUACUUCUUUUUGUGAAGUUCAAAUGGAUGCUAUAUAAUUGAUGUGUGUAAAAUAUACAUACUGAUACUAAUUGCACUUAGUAUUUUACAAUGUGUUGUAAAUUGUGUAUCCCUCAUUUUGUUUUGCACUGUUCUGUUGUAUAUAGUACUUUUGUGCAUACCUACACAUUAUGCUCUAAAAGUACAUAUUGAGCAAUGAUUUAUUACAAUUAAUUUAACAUCAACCAUACAUCAUGCAUUAUAUGCAAUUUAUUUGAUUUUGACUAAAAUGGAAAGUUUGUACUUUGGUAAACCUUAAACUAUUGGUUUUGUGAUGAUGUAAACUAAACAAA